ensembl:lncRNA
UAUAUAGAUAGAUAGAUAGUGUUUGGGUAUUUUGCAAAUGUGUGUAUGUGUGUAUUUGCAUAUAUAAAUAUAAAAUACAUAUAUGUGGAAAUGUAGAUAGGAGAGGCAAUAGAGCAAACAUGAUUUAUGGACAAAAGGAGCUUUAUACAUGGGAUUUGUAGACUUACAUUGUCCCCUUCCUCAUUGCAGAUAUUCAGAUCAAGUCCAGGGAGGGGCAUGGGACCCUUCCUUAAGAAGAAUAAUUGCAAAUCUGUUACAACCCUCUUUCCUACCUAUCAGGAGUCUUGAUAUGUUACUGUCAAGGAAUGCUCAAGAGACAGAAACCAUAACUCAAACUGGCUUAAGCAAAAGAUGAAUUUAUUGAUUUGGAUAAUAAUAGCAGAACAACCUGAUUCCAGGUACUAUCUGAUCCAGUGUCUAGUUGGAUCACCGGAACCUGUUUCUUCUUCUGAAAUAACUCUGUUUUCAUGCUGGCUGUCUCCUUAUGAGGUGGAGUUUUCUGAGAAGCAGAUGCCAAGACAGGAUUAGAUAUGGUUAUGGUUUGGGUCUCCAUGUAUCAAUCCAACUCAGGCCCUGUGUCCAGUAAUUUUCAAAAUGUCAGGUAUUCAUCUUGUAUUAGUACACGGAUAACCUAGUAAGUGGUAGUAAUUUCCUUUGGGGAAGGACUGGUAGAAUUACAGUAUAUAUUUGUAGCAGUGUUGCAGAGUCUCUUCGAGGGACCUGGCCACCUCUUCAUUCAAUGGGUCUGGAUCUGAAAAUUAACUCAAGUUUGGGAAGUGAGGGAUAUGAUUUGGCUGUAUCCCCACCUAAAUCUCAUAUUUACUUGUAGUUCCCAUAAUCCCCAUGUGUUUUGGGAGGGAUCCAGUGGGAGGUAAUUAAACCAUGGUGUGGUUAUCCCCAUGCUGCUGUUCUCGUGAUAGUAAGUUCUUACAGGAUCUGAUUUUUACAAAUGGCUUUUUCUUCUUUGCUCAGAACUUCUUCCUGCUGCCAUGUGAAGAACAUAUUUACUUCUCCUUCUGCCAUGAUCGUAAGUUUCCUGAGGCCUCCCCAGCCAUGUGGAACUGCUUCCUUCAGGAUUUUAAUCAACCUUACAGCCUCUUUGAGAAUAACUGAACUUCCAAAUUCCCUAAAGUUAAAAACUUUAAUUCUAUUAAACAUUUUUUUGAGUAUUUCAUUACUUUUACAUUAUGACUUGUGUGGUAAUUUGAAAUCAUAAGGGCUGAAAAAGAUCUUCAAAUAAGAUUUUAUAGUUAAAAUUUUUCUGACUUUUCUAAUAUUCUUCUUCCUAGCUCAUUUCACAAUCUUCAGAUGUAGAUUCCCUUUGAACAUAAAGUCGUAUAAAUAUAGAAUGUUCAAGCAUCUGACAUAUAAAUUUACAUAUGUUUUGAAGAUUGGAGGAUAUACCCUAUGAUUGUAUCUGAUGUUGUUAUUUUCUCAUCAUUGUUACCAGACAGUAAAUAAAUACUUCUGCCAGGCGUGGUGGCUCACUCUUGUAAUCCCAGCACUUUGGGAGGCCGAGGUGGGCAGAUCAUGAGGUCAGGAGUUUGAGACCAGGCUGGCUAACAUGGUGAAACCCUGUCUCUACUAAAAAUAUAAAAAUUAGCUGGGCGUGGUGACACAUACCUGUAAUCCCAGCUACUUGGGAGGCUAAAGCAGGAGAAUUGCCUGAACCUAGGAGGCAGAGAUUGCAGUGAGCCAAGAUCAUGCCACUGUACUCCAGCCUGGGCGACAGAGAAAGACUCUGUCUCGGGGAAAAAAAAAAUCAAUUCUAAUUUUGUUUACAUGUAUUAUUACACAAAAAUGGUCCACUACUCAAAAGCCUCCUCUUUGAGGUAGUGAUUGAUAUUAUUAUAAUUUUUUGUGUGAAAUCUUGAUUGCAUUGAUGAUAAUAUGUUUUUAUUACCCAAAUAAAAGAAAUAAGGACUCUUUACAAUUUAAGGGGAAUAUUAGAGAAUUUUUUAAAUAGGCCAGGCACAGUGGCUCACACCUGUAAUCCCAGCACUUUGGGAGGCUGAGGUGGGCAGAUCACUUGAGGUCAGAAGUUCAAGAUCAGCCUGGCCAACAUGGUGAAACCCCCAUCUCUACUAAAACUACAAAAAUUAGCCAGGCGUGGUGGCAGGCCCUUGUAGUGCCAGCUACCCGGGAGGCUGAAGUAGGAGAAUCUCCUGAACCCAGGAGGUGGAGGUUGCUGUGACCCAGGAUCCCACUGCUGUACUCUAGCCUGGGGGACAGAGCAAGACUCUGUCUCAAAAAAACAAACAAAAAAUAAAAAAUAAAAUAAAAUUAUGCCAGACUUGUUUCAAUAUCAUAGUUCUUCAUUAAAAUUCAGUAAUAUUCUGAUAUUUUCAUUAAUAAUUGUUUCACCAACUUCUUUUAUGGAAAACUUACACCUGUUAGGCAAAAUUUGGAAGAUGAAAGUAUAAACAUGUAUUUGAUAUUUUUGCUAUUUGCAGUACUUUGAUAUAAAAUAAACAUGGCUUCAGUUGAACUUGAGAGUACAGGGCAUGUGAUAUCAAAAACGGUAGGAAAAAAAAUGAUCUAUUUUCAUAGUGAGGGUAAAUGAAACUGGACAUUAUAAGUAUUAAAAGUUUUCAUUAAAGGCAUCAAGGCUGAAAAAAAAAAAGAUAUCAAGGCUGGACUUGCUUGAGCAAGGAAAAACUAAAUUUUUCUAAGUUGAGAUGGCUGUAACUCCAGGAAGACAGAUCUUACUUUGGAUCAAAGAUUGAUUUCUCUAUGAGGCAGAAAUUUUGACUUUGGUUUGUUUAGGAGCUGAAAUAGCAACGUGGAAAUAAGUAAUCUCUUUUGCUCCACCAAAAUCUCAGAACUUCCUCUGCCUUUGCCACCAUUAAGGCCAUCUAGACAACUGAGUUUGCUUAUCCUGUCGCAAGUUUUCUCCUUAGUUGCUUCCAGGAGUUUCUCCUCACUUAAGAGUGGAUGAGGAACCUCACUGUGAACGGAGGAUGUCUUAUAGUACUUUCAGUUUGCCUUUAUGGUUAUCUUGGUGAUAGAUUUCUUCAGUAGCAAUCUUGGGGGAUAUACAUGCUGGGUAAAUCCUGUCUGUCUUAUUCUUCAGUUGGAAAUACAGUGCCGGCACUAAGAUAUGGGGAACAGACAGACGGAGGCCACAAUAUUCAAGUUUUAUUAAACUUGCCACAGGUUAGAGCUUUAAUCUCAUAAUUCUAGAUAAAGGUGGGAUCCUUAUAGAUAGAAAAAUUAGAAAGAAUACCUGGAGGUUGUACUUAUUUUGACUAUUUAUAAGAUUACCAGCCAGGCACAGUGGUUCAUGCCUGUAAUACCAGCACUUUGGGAGGCCUAGGUGGGAGGAUUGCUUAAGCCCAGUAAUUUAAGAACAACCUAGGCAACACAAUGAGACCCGUUAAUAUAUAUAUGAUCAUCUAUUUUUGGUCAAAGUUGGGACUAGGCUAUAAAGAACCAGUUGUGUGCAUUGGAGAGGAAAAAUGAAAAAGCAGCAAGGAAAAGAAGGGGCCCAAGCCAACCGACUAUGAUAACAAUUUAACAAUGUAUACAUAUAUAUAUACACAUAUAUAUAUAUAUGUAAAAGGUCAUUGCCAGAUUUAAGUAUAUCUUUUUUAUUAGAGAGAUUCAUAUCUCAAAAGCAUGUUAACUGUUAGAAUAUUAAAAGUAUAUCCAGUUUUCCUUAAUUCCCUACUUACAGACAUUUUCGCAUACUUUUCAAAAUCCCAUUAAUUGAUGGUUUGGGGAGAGUCUUAUUUUUUUUAUCUUUUCGCUAUAAGAAAUUCUGAUUUAGUUUCUUGGCUCAAAACAAUUCAAAUAGACUAUGUUAUUCUCUGUAGAAUAUCAUGUCACCUUCAAUAAAUUGUGAAAAAAAUCAUCCUUUAAUUACACAACCUGAACAUGGCUUUUAAUUUCUAAUCAUCUGAAAAAAUGCAUAAUCAUCUUUAAGUAAAAGAAAUGAAAAAUAUUAAGCCAUAGUAAGAACUUUUAUUUCCAUUACAAAGAAGCUUUAGAAUUAAUUUAUUCAUUACUGGCUCUAAUUAAUUCAUUUUGGAAUCAAUCAUAAUUCUAUUUACAAAAAUUAUUUACUGUUUUCCCAGUUUUAAAUGUUAUUUUAUAUAGCCAUAUUUAGUAAUUGCUGAUGAUACAUCAUAAUUACAAAAUGCUAUAUCCAAAUGAUUAAAUUUUUUUGGUGUUAAAUGAAAUUGUUAAGAAGCUUUUUUUCUGUUUUGCAUGACUUUUUUCUUUUAUCACCUAUCAAUCAGUGAAUCUAAAAAAGUAAAGUGGAAAUCAGCUGACCGCAUUUGAAUAAAAAUAAUUUGAGAUGAGAAUAAGUUGAUAGUAUAGUAAUAAGGUCUAGUGAUAGCUUUCCCAGGAGAUAACUUAUGCAAAAAUGAUGGACGUCUGCCCAUCAUUGCAUAUAGAAUGCUGACAUUCUUGACUUUAAUAGGAAAGCAUUUAUCUUUUGCACCUGCUCCAUUAUAUGAAUAGCUGUCAUGUGUUUCAACAAAAGAGAGGAAAAACUGUCACUAUGAUUUAAGAAAUAUGCAUUGGUGUAAGAAAAGGUAAAAUAUUUUGAGCAGUUAGAAUUUAUUUUUCUUGCUCUAUUAUGCAUCGUUUCUACAAUGAAUUAUUUAAGCUUUGUUUAAUCAUAUUAGUAUUUUCCUACUGAGUUCAUCAGUAUGGCUUCAUCAUUAUGGAAAGUCCUUGAAUUAUUAAAGAGUGACUGUGUGCAUGCUUUAGGAGUAAAAGGUUAGUAUAUUUAUGAUUUCUGAAGUUUCAGUGAUAUGCAACAAAAUGAAACAUUUAGUUAAAAUGUAAAUGUCAUCUUUGGAAUAUUACAUCAUGAAUACAUAAAAUUUAAAGUUAAUGACAUUAAAA